UUGUUUCUUAUGUCUGCAGUCUCCCUUUUUGUUUCAUUCUGCUAUUUUAUCAUCUUGUGUUGGAGCUCUAGUUUUAUUUAAUUUAUGUUAUCAAGCUGUGCUAUUUAUUACAUGAAGAAAUUAUGAAAAAUCCUUAUGUUCUUGACUUAUGAUUGUUUUUAGACUCUGUCUUUUGUGGCCUAGAGUUCUCUCUCCUCCACCCACUUUCCUUUUGUUAGCUGUGGGUAAGGUAUGAACAUGCAGAACACACUGCAACCAUAGCCCUCCUGGGCACGGCACUACUCACAUCAGACAGUUCGCUCGCCCAGUUGUCCUGCCUGCUACAGUGAGGUACCUUCUUCCCCACUUUCUGGUACUCAUAUGUGACAUGAGAAAAUGCCACCCUCUGUCCUGUUCUCUCCACUGACGCUUGUUCCAUUUACUCAGCAGGGCUUCUUGUGGAAACCUGAGCAAAACCCAUCUUAAAUUUGCUCAGGCUAUCCCAGUUUUGGGGAGGGAGAAGUGAGAUUUUUGUUCCACUUUUUAAACUUGAGUGGUCUCAAUUAUUUCAAACUUUGUAUGUAAACCAAGAACUUCACUAUUAUUUAACUAAAUUAUGAUAUUCUGAAUUUAUCUAAUCCAACUUCAUAUAAAAUUCAGCCCCACUGUCUUCCAAAAGGCUAGUAUAAAGAAUCAGUGAGUACAAAUAUGGAAAGAUAGGCCAUCAUUUUUUUUCACACCAGAAAUGUGUGUGUGUGUGUGUAUGUGUGUGUGCGUGUGCGCGCGCGCACGCAUGCGUGCACGCACAUAACAUUGUUUGGAUAUAUAACAUUUACUUUUUAAAGGUACAAGUCAUAAGGUCAUCUUUUGACCUUUUACCAAGUAAACAGUGUGAACAGCAGUGUCCCUGAGACACAGAAUUUCCAGCCCACUGGAGCCUCUCAGCCAAGCCUGCCACAGCAGAGGAAACCACCACCAGCCAUCUACUGUCUUUUGCUCCAGAAAUCCACAUGAAUGGAGCUUGGUACCCACUGGACAGCUUCCAAAUGGACACAAACUAAGGAAACUCGGGGGUACUUCUGUUGCUGUUUCUCCCGCUAGCCGUGAUUGUAUUUUCCUGGCACGCCAACAGAAAGGUCCAGUCGGCAAAGCAAUCGCUGGGGAAAACUGCUGCCUGUUUGACCUGUGUGCCCAUGGCAUCUCCGACAAGAGGGAAGGCCUGCACCGGGGACCACACAUGGAAAAGCGAGUGUCAAAGUAGCCCUGCCUGGAGCACAAUAUCUGGGCUUUGCAGCAACCCAACAGACUGCUCCAGAGUCCGCGUGUUUCUUCCAGCUCAAGCAUUCAUAAGAAGACUGAGGUCAACGUGAGGAGGAGCCUACAGAAGGAAUGGAGGGCAGGUCUUGUCAGGAUGAGCUCGUUUCUAACACAUGCUCCGCACUUCCCUUCUGUUUUCAAUUGCUCCUGAAUAACCAAACCUCCAGAUAACUGUCCUCAACUCCCUCCGCAUUUAACCCAUGGAAACCCAUGUCACAAACAAGGCACUUCUGUGACUGUCUCCUUUAAGUACAUGUGGUAGCAGAAGUAAGGUGGAGCCCGGUUACGGCUGGCUUUCUGUUGGCGGCUAACCCGCACCCCGGCACUCCUCCGGCGUGUUUACAGAGAGCCAAGUGCCUUUUUAAAAUUGAAAUUAAUACCUGAACAUAAUUUUUUCCUUCUUAAUUAAACUUUCAGGAUAAUUUCCAUUCUACCAAGGAUCAGGAAAUUGCUAAUAUGUAUUAUAUUGACUGGAUGUGGUUUCUGUAAUUAGGAUGCUUUAGGAACGUGGAUUGUGGAUACAAUUGAUAGUAAUGACUUCAUCUAUCAUGUCUCAGCUUUGCUAGAACUUUUUAAUUCUGGGAUCACUGGCUCAGUGGACCAGAGAGGCUUUCUUAGCUUUAUCAGGCUCCAUCAACUUUGUGUGGCUACAGGACAGGCUUGGGGAAGGGAUGAGCGGAAGUGCUGUGAGCACCGCAUUAAGACUCAGUUGUUCUCUGCCCUACUUUACACCUCUGGGCACAGAUAUUCUGGAACUAAGUCAGACAGAAAUGGUAGGUGGGAAUACUGACUCUCAUGGUGGGCUCCUAGAACAAUGUGCCUAAAAUCGUUAAUGGUCUCAUCUUCACCAUUUUGGCACCAAAGCAUGAGUUUAUCAAAAUGAUAAUUCAUAGCUUGCAUGAUUUGAUUUCUCUUUUAAAAUACUUGAUUCUGGGCAUGGUGACACAUGCCUAUAAUCCUAACAUUUGGGAGGUGGAGACAGAAAGAUUAGAAAUUCAAGGCCAGCCUUGGAUACAUGAAAACCUGUCUCAAAAAUAAUAAAAUAAUAUAAAAGCAAAUACUGCCGGUGGGAUGGCUCAGUGGGCAAACACACUUGCUGCGAAGCCUGACAACUGGAGUUCCAUCUCCAGGUCCCACACGUAGGAAAAGAGAACCAGCUCCUGAGUGUUGUCCUCUGACCUCUAUACAAGCACAUGUGCAUGAAUGAAUGAAUGAAUGAAUGAAUGAAAAAUGAAUAAAUGAAUGAAUAAAUUUUAAACCUAAGUAAAAAUAUAUGUCAGGCUGGGGGUAUAGCUCAGUGGUAGACUACUUGCCUAGCACCUGAGAGGCCCUGGGUUUGAUGCCCAGCAAUGAAACAAAUAUUGAAGAUGGCUUCACUGAAAGUCAUGAUCAAAUAGAUUCAAUGCUUAAAGCUGUCUUAUACAGUCUCUAGGAUGCUUUGCUUAUCAGCUUAGGCUGUAUUGUCAGAUCUAAUAAUAAGAGUUUAGUUUUCU